CCCUUAGAUGUUCUGGGCCGCACGCGCGCUACACUGAUGCAUUCAACGAGUCUAAAACCUGCUCUGAUAGGGGUGGGUAAUCUUUUGAAUGUGCAUCGUGAUUGGGAUAGAUGAUUGCAAUUUUUCAUCUUCAACGAGGAAUGCCUAGUAAACGCAAGUCAUCAGCUUGCAUUGAUUACGUCCCUGCCCUUUGUACACACCGCCCGUCGCACCUACCGAUUGAAUGGUCCGGUGAAGCCUCGGGAUUGUGACUGGUUCCCUUUAUUGGGAGUCUGUCGCAAGAACUUGUCUAAACCUUAUCAUUUAGAGGAAGGUGAAGUCGUAACA
rnacentral:rRNA from 1 species